ACAACGUAUUUCAGAAUUUUGGAAUCUCAUUUUAUUGAGGACAUUUAGGUGACAAAGUAUAGAAAGUAUGAGUUGGAGGUAAUGAUUAAACAACAUAAGAGAAGUUUGGAAGGUCUGUCUGAGUAGAGAGCUCUUCUAUGGAUACUUAGGGGAUUACAAAGAAACAGUGUGGUAGAUCUUCAACCUGGUCAGAGAUGCACGGGGCUUAUUCCUGGUCUCAUGACUACCCUGGAAGGAGCACGGUGGAGAAAACAAAACAAAAAGAAACUGUGCAGAACAAUAUAAGAAUUGCAUCAGCAUGAAGAUCAAACACCCAAAGAGAACACACACCACUACAAUGUUGUGAAUCAUUGCAAAAAAUCCAAACCCUCCCUGACCCAGUUUCCUACAAGGAAAGAUAAAGCGUCCUUUUAAAAGCUCUUUCUAUCUAGCUAUGGAGUCUUUGCUUGCUGAGAAUUGAAUGCUCACGAAGCUUCCUUGUGGGGGGAGGGGAUUUAUUUUUGGACCAGCCAGUCAUAAAUAAUA